rnacentral:lncRNA from 1 species
CACAGGGUUAGGAUGAGAGAGAGCUAUGUCAACAGGGUUAGGAUGAGAGAGAGCUAUGUCAACAGGGUAAAGAUGAGAGAGAGCUAUGUCAACAGGUUUAGGAUGAGAGAGAGCUAUGUCAACAGGGUUAGGAUGAGAGAGAGAGAGAGCUAUGUCAACAGGGUUAAGAUGAGAGAGAGCUAUAGCUAUGUCAACAGGGUUAGGAUGAGAGAGAGAGAGAGCUAUGUCAACAGGGUUAGGAUGAGAGAGAGAGAGAGCUAUGUCAACAGGGUUAGGAUGAGAGAGAGAGAGCUAUGUCAACAGGGUUAGGAUGAGAGAGAGAGAGCUAUGUCAACAGGGUUAAGAUGAGAGAGAGCUAUGUCAACAGGGUUAGGAUGAGAGAGAGCUAUGUCAACAGGGUUAGGAUGAGAGAGAGAG